rnacentral:rRNA from 1 species
CAAAGAUUAAGCCAUGCAUGUCUGAGUAUAAGCAAUUGUACAGCGAAACUGCGAAUGGCUCAUUAUAUAAGUUAUCGUUUAUUUGAUAGUACCUUACUCCUUGGAUAACCGUGGUAAUUCUAGAGCUAAUACAUGCUGAAAAUCCCGACUCCGGAAGGGAUGCGUUUAUUAGAUUAAAAACCAAUGCCCCCCGGGCUCCUUGGUGAUUCAUGAUAACCUCUCGAAUCGCACGGCCUCGCGCCGGCGAUGGUUCAUUCAAAUUUCUUCCCUAUCAACUUUCGAUGUUUGGGUAGUGGCCAAACAUGGUUUCAACGGGUAACGGAGGGUUAGGGCUCGACCCCGGAGAAGGAGCCUGAGAGACGGCUACUACAUCCAAGGAAGGCAGCAGGCGCGCAAAUUACCCAAUCCCGACGCGGGGAGGUAGUGACAAUAAAUACUGAUACAGGGCUCUUUUGGGUCUUGUAAUUGGAAUGAGUACAAUUUAAACCCCUUAACGAGGAACAAUUGGAGGGCAAGUCUGGUGCCAGCAGCCGCGGUAAUUCCAGCUCCAAUAGCGUAUAUNAAGUUGUUGUGGUU